rnacentral:rRNA from 1 species
AUGCGAGUCGAGAGGGUUCGGCCCUCGGCAGACGGCUCACUAACACGUGGAUAAUCUAUCCUUAGGUGGAGGAUAAUCUCGGGAAACUGAGAAUAAUACUCCAUAGAUCUAGGAUGCUGGAAUGCACCUAGGUUGAAAGCUCCGGCGCCUAAGGGUGAGUCUGCGGACUAUCAGGCUGUAGUCAGGGUAAAGACCUGACUAACCUACGACGGAUACGGGUUGUGAGAGCAAUAACCCGGAGACGAUAUCUGAGACACGAUAUCGGGCCCUACGGGGCGCAGCAGGCGCGAAACCUUCACACUGUGCGAAAGCGCGAUGAGGGAAUCCCAAGUGUUUGCUCGUAAGAGUAAACUGUUUCUGUGUCUAAAAAGCAUAGAGAGUAAGAGCUGGGUAAGACGGGUGCCAGCCGCCGCGGUAAUACCUGCAGCUCAAGUGGUGACCGCUAUUAUUGGGCCUAAAACGUCCGUAGCCGGUUUAGUAAAUGCCUGGGUAAAUCGAGCCGCUUAACGGUUCGAAUUCCGGGUAGACUGCUAAACUUGAGACCGGGAGAGGCUAGAGGUACUCCUGGGGUAGAGGUGAAAUUCUGUAAUCCUGGGGGGACCACCAGUGGCGAAGGCGUCUAG